UUAGAACAUUAGAAAAUUUUCAAACAUAAACAAAAGUACAAUGAUACCCAUGGACCAUUAACCAGCUACAAAAAUCAUCAACCCACACAUGCCAAGCAUUUUAUAUAUGUUACUUUAUACUAAUACUCAAAGAGCGUAAGAACAUCGCCUAAAACUAUUCAGUUAGUAUGGAGUAAAGUUGAGGUUUGAAUUCAUGUCUAUGUGAAAUCAGCCUCUCGGCCCUUUUUACAAUAGUAGGUAUAGAGCAAGGGGAAGGUGUGUCUUCCAAAAACACCUUUGCAGGUACAGACUUGACUUGAUAAAGAAUUUCAUCUGACUGGGUGUGGUGGCUCAAGCCUGUAAUCCCAGCAAUUUGGGAGGCCGAGGGAGACGGAUCACCAGGUCAGGAGUUCGAGGCCAGCCUGGCAAACAUAGUGAAACCGUCUCUACUAAAAGUACAAAAAAUUGGCCGGGUGCGGUGGCAGACACCUGUAAUCCCAGCUACUCAGGAGGCUGAGGCAGGAGAAUCUCUUGAACCUGGGAGGCAGGGGUUGCAGUGAGCCAAGAUUGCGCCAUUGCACUCUAGCCUGGGCGACACUGAGACUCUGUCUCAAAAAAAAAAAAAAAAAAAUUCAUCUUCAUCUUGACAAUGCUGGCAUACAUACACAUUUAGAUUACACAUAGAAUAAACAUAAUUUUAAAUAACUACAUAGUUGAAUAUCAAAGUACACAUAAUAUACACACAUUCCUCACAAAUAUCUUUAAAUAUCACAAGUAUCUUUAAUCUUUAAUAGAUGGGUCUGAAAUGUCAAUAGGCACCUUACAAAAGCUUACUGAAUUAAGUGUAAGUACUCCAUGGGGGACAAAUAAGAGAGAAAAUAAAUUACAUAUCUGGUCAUAUCAACUGAUUUUGUAGAAUUAAUUUUCCCUUUUACUGAAUUCCUUUAGCUCUCAACAUUGUUCUGGCCAAAAAUCAAUUAUAUACUCAUGCUUAGAUUAUAAUCUGCUAAAGUAUGGGGAUCUUUUCAGAUUCACAUUUUUCAAAAUUUAGAAUAUAUUUACUGAGGGAUUGAACAAGUGGAUUGAGGCUUUGGAUGCUGUUCAUUUCUCAUCUAUUCUAUUGCCUAGCAGUAGAGAGAAAAGUAUAACUUCUGUCAGAAUUGUGCUAAAUAAAUGAACAUCCUGUUGUGCUUGUCAUAGUUGUAUGGAACCAGAAAAUGUGAUUUUGCAAGAGGCCCUGAGAUGGUAGGCUUUGUCCAUGACAGUGGCUAAGGCAACAGAAUGAGGGGAAGGCAUCUGGGGUUCUCUGCUGGUUGGUUUCCCUGGUGUAAUUUUUUGAGCCCUACCUCCAGUCCACCCCUUACUACCAGCUCAGAAGAUGUGAAGGAGUCUAUGGUAAUUUAGAUAUGGUGACAAAAGGCAGGAUUUGCUCUUUAUGACAUCAAUUUUCUCUUUUACUAAGGGGGAUGAAAUCAAUAGUGACUGUGAAAAAAGAAUAGUAUCAGCAUAAUGCACAGAAUCAGGGAAAAACAAUUUUCAUUUUGAAGGUGACUACAUUGAAUCAGUUUAAGUAAAAUGAUGUUGUUAAAUACAGAGAAUGUCUACAGGGAGGUCUUGAAAGUCGUGGAGAAACUUCGUAAAAAUGUAGUUGCCUGGUUAUAUUUCAGAGCAUGAUUCCCAAUUAAGAGCAAAGAGCAAGCCAGAUUAUUUUCAAAAGCAUUCACAAGGGCCAUUAAAGGUUUAUGACAACUUUAUAUGAUGAAGACUUGAAGUUUUGUUGUGUAGUUUGAAAUUAUCACCAUACCCUGUAAAGUGAAAUCCAGCACUUGAAAGAAGGCAGGAAUAGAGUUUUAUGAAUUGUGCUAAUAGAAUCUUAAUAGUAGACAAAUUAGAAAGACUUCAAAGAUGUGGUCCAUUUUCCAGCCCGUGGUUGAAUCAUCUCUACCAUAUCUCCACCAAGAGCCCCUUCAGCACUCAGGGUGACCGUGCAAUCAUUCUGGAAAUGUUAUGUUCUUACUGUGAUGCUAAGAAACUCUUCAUGAGAUAAAAUUCAGUGAGUUUUGAUGUAUAUUUUGAUAUUCCUUUGAGAAUGUCUUUUCUUAUAUUGAGUGAAAAUAUUAACCCUGUAACUUCUAUCUCUUGGCCAUAGUUACAAGGCUUUGGGGUCCUGACAAAUAGCUUAUUUUCACGUAAAAACUCCUCGCAAGUAGACGGAAGCAUUUACACACUUUUUUCCUCCGUGGCUUGGAAGCCUACAGUGGAUAAAGGGAGAGGAGUGGUAGGUUGCUUAGGCAGUCUCUUCCAAUUUUCCCCUCCUUGUACUUGGCCUCUUCCCCCUCUCCUUCUCUAGAUUGUCUUUCCCUUCUUUUUAGAGAUGGAUUGAGUGGGAGAGAGGGAUGGUAAAGGCAGGGAAGUUUACUUGACUGGUACUGCCACAAUAUGGUGUGGGUGCUAGCUAAGCUUGACGCUGCUGGAUUCCAGUACCCUGCACCUGAGGUGAUCUUCCUCUUGGGCAGGAUGGAAGUACUCCAGAUCAACUCCUUCCACACUCAGUUCUGCCUUCAGCACAAGUACAGCCAUUCCCAGUGCAGCCCUUUCUUUUUUGCUGUCCUGGAUAGCUGGCCAGCCACCAUCUUUUGCCUUUUGGCUUUGUUAGUGUGGAUUUGAUACCAGUCUCUCUACUUCAUGAACUCUGAAUUUCUAAAUUAGCCUUCCCAAGUGGCUUUCUUGAUGCCGGUUGGUCUCUGCUUGAAGUGGGGAAUAUGCACAGGCACACAUCUCCCCUGCCCUGUGUUGGGGAUGGGGUGGCAAAGAUUAUCAUAGCAGUUGAUUCGCUUCACUAAAGAAAUUAUCUUCAAAACUAAUCUAGGCUCUUUGCAAAUUCAACAUCCUAAAUAUCUCUAGAUUUUUCCCCGUCUUUAUUUUCCUUUUAAUUUCUCAUAGAGGAUCUAUUAUACUUUGAAAUAUUAAGAGGAAUGCUUAUCACCUCUCUUUUGUCCUCCUCCUUUGAGUCUUCAGGCAAAACUAAGGCAGAGAGUCCUGUGUUAACAUCCUAUUACUCUAACAUCACCAUUUACUCUCUGUCUCUUGUCUACCCUCUGACCUGCAAGUCCAAUGUGGAUAGCAAAUUCUCCUGGACAGCACUUUCCUCCUCAACCCUGAAUCCAUUCUGUAAUUUCUCCUCACUGGACUUCCUGCCUUUGAUAAUAUGCUAUCCUUCCCUCUGUCUACCCACUAGCUGCUGUCAUAGCUCAUUUCAGUUUAUUAUUUAGUGUCUUAUUCUAGAAAGUUCUAUUGUGGCUUCUACUUUCUAAAAAAGGUUAUUUUUAAACCAUUUUUCUUCAAAGACCUCUUUGGCUCACUUUUCCCCCCGUAUCCUACUUUGUCUCCUGUUUCUUGUUCACUCUACCUGUGCACUCCACCUAGAUUGCUUCCUUUGUCAAAACUGGAUCAUGCUCUGACCACGCUGUCACUUUAGUCAUAAUCACCAAGUACUCACUGAAUAGCUACAGAGUAUUGAGCACUAUUCUGGGAAGCAUGCAAGUUCAGGGAAAGUUAGGGUUUGCCUUCAGAGAAUUGUGCUUUCAUUGGCUAGAACAGAACACAUCAAAAGAAAUGGAGAACAUUCAAUAUGUUAAAAUGUGUGGCCUGACAAUGUACGGUUUUCACCUGAGCCAUACUGUUGGCUUUCAUAAAAUUUAAAGACAUUCUGAAAUCUCUCCUGAUCUGUGAAGUCGUUCCACAUUUCUCAGAAAAGGAUUACCUGUUUUACUCUGAUAAUUUUCAACCUGAUAGGUCCACAGAUACUCUAGCCUUCCACUACUAACAUAAUUUUUCCCUGAACGUGCACAUAGGAUAGCCUUUGAAUUUAGAUUUUGCACAUAUUAGUUAAGUCGUUUUACUUCCAGUUAUUUCUGUGCCUGACAUUUUGCUUCUAAAUUGUUGAGUGAAGAAUCAGGUUCUUAUCAUUUCUUUUCAUUCUUUUCCAUCAUAUAGACUUAUGAGGUGUUCAGGGCUAUGUGAUGAUGAUAAUAAUGUUAAUAACAAUAAUGACACCUCCCAUUUGUGUUACACUUUACAAAGUACUGUAAUGUACAUUAUCUUAUCUUAUUCUAAAAAUGUGCCUGUGAUGAUUACUUUGUUCCUCACUCUUCAGAAACUGUAAUAGCUCCUCUGCCUCCCACCAGCUUUGUUGCUGACACUCCAGAGAGAACUGCAUCCCCCGAGUUCUGUUGCUCAGGUAACUCCCCAGGCUCCUAAGCCCAUUUGCUUAUGCUUCUCUGACCCCAAUUGCAAAGCCAUUGAUUUGGUUUCCAUUCUUGCUCUCCAUCCUCUUCUUUAGACUGGACACAGUCAUAUGCUUCUUGAGCCUGACUUACGCCAGAAGACUGGCUUUGGUUGUACUGUGCUCUGGGCCCUGCAGCUGAAUGGCAUCACCACCGACUCCCAGCUGCAGAUCAUGAAACCACUGUCUUGAUCCUGCCCACUUAGGGAUGGAGGUCAUGGGUACACUUGUCAGCAAAAAGAGAAAUAUAAAACUCCCAGCUUAGAGCUCCUAAAUGAGUUGUUACUUUCUUUCUAAAUAGAAGCAUGAGUUUAGGAUACAAUAUUCCCAGUGAAGGCUAUGCAUCUUUUUCAAAACAGGCAGGCUUUUUUUUUUUUAAUGCAGAUUGUCAUUAACACAACAAUUUUCUAACGUUUGUGAUUAUCUUAAACACAGAACUAUGUUAGUUGAUGCCCAAUCUCACAACUUGGAAUUUUCUCAAUGCUUUUCUUAUGAAAAUUUGACCACUAUAAUUAUGGCUUUUGGUUUGUAUAGGAUUUUAUAUGGAUAUACAUAGCUCCAGUUUUCAUGAAUUCUUCCUAUUACCCAGAAGUAGGAUAUAUUGAGCAACAAGGGUGUCAAUGACUUGCAAGAAUUAAAAACCAAGCAGAUAAACAGAGGAAUGGCAGAAAGCCUGAGGAAUAAGGAUAACGUAGGGAGAUGGAGCACAGAGAGUUGAGUGUUGCCUCUAUAGGAACAGUUUGCACAUGGCAGCUUUUAGCCUAGAUAAGGGUAUUUAUAUUCCAGAAUAAGUUGUCCCAUAUUUCCUGAGAGAAAACUGUUUUGACUGCUUUUACUUAUAAGUUUAGAGCAUUACACAAUAUACUUUUAUUUUUAUGUUAUUAAAAUAUUGAUGAUUUGUUACACAAUAGACAAACUGACAACAUUUUGAGGGUGAUUUAUGUUUAGGGGGUCGUAGGAAAUGUACACUGAUUUCUUAAUUUUUUUUUUUUACUGUCAUUAUAUUCCCAGAGUAAAUAUAUCUUGUGAAAAGAAAGUUAAAAUAAUUUUAAAAACUGUAAGAAGGGUUUCUACAGGAUGUUUAGGGGAGAGAAAAUUUUCCUCUGUUGAGGAAUUGAAUCUCUUCCCCUAAUGGCUGAAAUCUCCCUCAUAGCUAAGCAGACCCAGCCUUGGCCAAGGUGAUAUUGAGACCUUGUUGGCGUUCCAGGGAAGCUUAGGAAGCUCGUUAUGCUGGGUGUGCAGCUCAGCGAUUAGAUAAGAUUCCUCAGAGGUUUUAGUUGCUCUUCGCUUAUUUCAAUUUGGUUUUCUCCUUAGCUGGCUCCUACUUAGCUUUCCUAGCCUGUGUGACUCUUUGGGUUUUCAGUAGUACCAAAUCCUACAGAAGUCUGUAAAACUGUAUUGCUGUUCUUCACGUAGGAAAAACACUUUUGCAUUUUGUGCCGCAGAAUACAGCUCUCAAAACUGCCCGUCUCAUAGAUGCCUUGACCCAUUAGCAUCUCAGGCAGUUGGUUUGUCACUUUUCUUCCAUUUUAUAGCUUUUAAAAAUUAAUGGAUUGAGUUCGUCAGGCUCAGGGGCUAAAAUUCUAUUCAGUAAGUGUGUUUUCAUGGCAUAGUGCAUUAAUAUAUGCAGGCAGGAAAAAUAACCCUCCCAGAAAAGAACUUUAAGAUGAAAUUUCUAGCUGAAGCUCCAAUAUAAUUUGACUCUAGGUAUAACUCAAGGCAAUAACUUACCAAUUUCAUCACUCCAUUUUACAUUCAUCUUUUUCUGGUAUUUUCUUAAAAUUGAGGGGGUGACUUUUUUCUGAAUAUAGACUUUUCUAGUAUGCUACCAACUUUCAAUCCACCUAACCUCAGCCACACAGUUGAGGCGGCUGCCCCCAGACUCCACAGCUGAAUCGUGAAUGCAGAAAGUCCUCCCCAUGGUCACAACCUUCUAGGCUGUGUAUGGCUAUAUUUCCACACACCUCGAGAGCAGCUCUUUGAUAUAACAGCUUCCAGCAGCUGAGCCACACUCCUUCAGCUCCUUCAGGUGCUCCCUUCCACCUGGACCCCAUCACCAAGAUGGAAACUACAAUCUCACCACACCGCCCACUCCCUCCCUCACACCCCUGAUAAUUCACUGCUCCCACUUGAUCCUUCACCACCAAUUCCAGUCUCUGGUGACUUCAUUCAGAUUCAUGAGAAGAAGAGCAGAGCCAGGGGAAAAGUCUGUAGUCACCUGGGCCAGCCAUUGCACAUUUCUGUUCUCCAUCUGUAUGUGAUAUGCUUCUCAGAGGCCUUUGCAUCACCACUAAUCUACUGCACACAAGCAACCACUUGUCUAUACCUGCUCCUCAGGAAAUGCUCUGAGAGAUCGGAGACAAAUGGAUGCAAAUUCCCACAAAUUCUUCCGCUCAGUGCUAAGUGUGUCCUGCUCAGUUCUUGUUCACUCUUACUUUUUCUUUUCUGCAAAGCUUCUUUCCAGGAAUAUCUCCUCCAUUGUGUGCUUCAUCCCAACUGCUGGGUGCAGGUGAGGGGAAAGGAUGCCUCAAGUGGGAGAGUGACAGGUGCUGGAAAAGAGAAUCUCUGCUGUGACCACUGCCCAGCCAUCCAGAAAUGAUGCCAGGACUGUUUGUCACAGAGGAAGCUUUGAAGACUCUAUUGGAAUGAGACUUCUCUCAGGAAGGGGGCUUUAGCAGACAUGUGUUGCUGGGGCCACCCGCUACCAGUUCUUCCUUCCUUGGGUAACAACACCCUAAUCAUUCUUUGGGAAACUAAUUCUUCCUCAGUCUUGAUGGGACUUCUGAUCAGGGUACUCCAUUCCACUCCGGCCAAAGGAUGGGCUCAUGACCCCGCUUGACUGAAUCUGAUUUUUAAGCAGAAUGACAUAUAGACUGUUGCUCUGAUUCAGACUGCCAGUGAAUGAAUGUCUCUUCAUUCCUGAAGGUUAAAAAGAUGUUUGAAGGAGGCCAGGCACAGU
rnacentral:lncRNA from 10 species